AGGCAUUCAAAAAGCUUUAAUUCAAACUUGUCAGGCAUAUCACAAAGACUCAUAGAUUACAACUGGAUCGAAUAACCCAUUCUGGAUCUGAACUCAUGGCUACAAUCUUACAGAGAACAUGGGAACAAAAAAUAUAAAGUUUAUAUAACAUGGUCCUGGGGAAACCUCCUGGACCUCAAAAAGGAGAACCAUGCUUCAUUUUCACAAAUCUAGACACAACCUGUAUGGAAAAUGUAAUUGCCAGACAAAAUUGAGUAGGCACAAAAGCUUGUCCAGCUUCCAAUGGAUGAGGCCAUAAUAUGGACAAGAUUUCACCAAGCUGCAUAUAAUUAAAAGGCCUCAAAGUCUUUUAUCAAGUAAAUCAACAGGCACCUGUACAGAUAGAUCCUCUUCUUUCCUGAAAGAGGGGGAAAAAAAAUACCACAAACAUUACAUUCCCGAAGGCGGCACAGCAAAAGUCUUAUCACCUUUAAAUUUUUGUUUCCUGCAUGGUUUGUCUCCUCAGUCACGGUCCACAGGACUCUGAGAAGUCGUAGGAAUAUGCAGGCGCAGACUCGAAGCCCAGCUCCAUCUCCAACGUUGUGGAAAGGGACUGUACAUCAUCGGGCAGUACCCUAUGCUCCCGUACGCCACUAGGACAGAGCCCGGGGAGAGUGACCUCCCGGGGUAUCCACGUUGGAAUGUCUGGUUAGUACUCUAAAAAUCAGUCAAACUCAACCAAUACAGACUACACACACCCCAAUUAGUGUCCCACCACUAUUAACUUAGACACACGGAACAAAGAACGUACCUCAAUGAGUUCUUUGGGAUCACUCAUCAAUUCUGCAAUAGAAGACACUCCGUCAGUAAAUUAAACGCUUAAAGUACGCAGACCCACCCCCAGAUUGCGAUUUAAGACUGUUUCCUGCAUGGUUUGUCUCCUCAGUCACGGUCCACAGGACUCUGAGAAGUCGUAGGAAUAUGCAGGCGCAGACUCGAAGCCCAGCUUCAUCUCCAACGUUGUGGAAAGGGACUGUACAUCAUCGGGCGGUACCCUAUGCUCCCGUACGCCACUAGGACAGAGCCCGGGGAGAGUGACCUCCCGGGGUAUCCACGUUGGAUAGUCACGGGAAAGACAUUUCUUUUGACAAAAUGUCCCAUAGUCCUUGUCAGAUCUCCAGCUCGAAACAACGCCUGGCUUCUGAGUGCUGCAACUAUCGGUCUCAGGCACCCCAUGCAAACAGAACACAACACGUCCACCCAAACUGUUCAGACAUCUACGUGAACGGCUCUCUGAAUAAUGGCAGAUGAAUGAACAAGAAAACUGCAGAAUCUGGCUACCACACGUUGGAGAGAAAUAAAAUUCGGGGAAAAAGGCUCAACGACUUUUAAGUUAAAAUCGAGCGCUCGAAGGCGGCUAACUGCCCAAAUCACACCACAGGAACAAAAGAGCCUGUUUUCUUAAGUAGAAUCAACCUUAAAGUAAAGUGCGUAGACAUCGUUAGUUUCCCAGGCAAUAAUCCAACUGGCUUUGAGAUCCGCGAAAGAAGGCCGGUUAUUAGGCCGAGAAGCACGUGUCCACACACCAUGCUGGGCAAAUGAACCCGGCUUCCCACGCGGAGUCCGCACAGCCGCGACUCUUCCUCUCAAACCCUGGGUGCCGAACCACGAGGGAAAACCCACAGCAGCUGAGAUCAGCAUAUGGUACUCACCUACAGAGUACAGACCCAGAGAGAAACCGGUAAA
ensembl:lncRNA